rnacentral:rRNA from 1 species
UACGGGGGGGGUAAGCGUUGUUCGGAAUUACUGGGCGUAAAGGGCUCGUAGGCGGCCAACUAAGUCGGACGUGAAAUCCCUCAGCUUAACUGGGGAACUGCGUCCGAUACUGGAUGGCUUGGAUUUGGGAGAGGGAUGCGGAAUUCCAGGUGUAGCGGUGAAAUGCGUAGAUAUCUGGAGGAAUACCGGUGGCGAAGGCGGCAUCCUGGACCGACAUUGACGCUGAAGGCCGAAAGCUAGGGGAGCAAACGGG